GACGUAGGGCGCGAGCGUUGUCCGGAUUUAUUGGGCGUAAAGAGCUCGUAGGCGGCUUGUCGCGUCGACUGUGAAAACCCGCGGCUCAACUGCGGGCCUGCAGCCGAUACGGGCAGGCUAGAGGUAGGUAGGGGAGAUCGGAAUUCCUGGUGUAGCGGUGAAAUGCGCAGAUAUCAGGAGGAACACCGGUGGCGAAGGCGGAUCUCUGGGCCUUACCUGACGCUCAGGCGCGAAAGCUAGGGGAGCGAACAGG
rnacentral:rRNA from 1 species